GAACAUAAGACCCCACAUUUCCUUUUAAGAAAAUAAAAAUAGUUUUCAUAUAGUUUAGCCCUUUGGUUGAGCAUGUUACAUAAAUUUUAAAAUGCAUCUAAGACGUUGCCUCAUCAUGAAAGCUGCUGAUGGAACAGACUGAGGAAGUGGGAACAACAUUCAUCAGUCUCCACGUCUGGGGCUUGGAAUUAGCCAUCACAAACACAGGGACACAAGCCCUUUGCAUUUGGCACAAAUUAUCUGUUCUGUUUCCCAGCAUUGGGUUUACAGGCCUCUGUUGAAGAUAAAAAUCAGUGAUAAAGGCCAAUUGUCAGAGGGCUGGCUAUUUUCAGUGCUAUUGUUAUGACAACUCUGGCUUCCAAAAGGAUUAUUAAGAAAAAAGGCCAUCCCUUUGAAAUCUACAUCAAGUUGUUAAGGCAACAAACCCAGGAUUAAAUCUGGAAAUGUUUGCUUUGCCACCCCCUUCCUCUACCCUAUGAUCUAUUUCACAUGUUCUUGUUGUCGGUGCCAGCUAACAGAUCAUUGCUACAUCUCUGCCACCUCAUCCCAGCAAUCAGAGACAAGUGUGGAUUUGAAAACCGGCAUUGCCGUGUGCAUUUGAGUGUCCAGCAGGUGAUGAGAAAUUCAGAUGUGGGACUCUUGAGAGACAUGAAGGCCAGAGAUUCCAUCUAUGUGAUCACCCAGUGAGAAGAUGGGCCAGGAGAAAACAGAAGGGGACAGGUUCAGCCACAACACUGCGCUUCUAACCAGUGUGUUUGAGAAUCUGGUAAGCCUAUGAGGGUGUAGAUAGCUCAUCCAAGAUGGUGUGUGGUCUCCUGGAGGCUUAAUGAGCUCUGCUGAAUACCAACAGUUGGUGUGCUGGAGCUAUUUCCCCACUCCCCGGACAUCUGAGCUAAGAGGUGCCGGGGAAAAGCCUCAAAUUUCAUACACUCUGUGACCCAGUUUCUAUCUGGCUGACAGAAGCUCUUCCUGCUCCAGAUGACAGGUCUGAAAGCUGCUCAAGUAGAAUGGGUGGUGAGUUAUGUGAACAUUCUUUCACGUUAAUUGAAUUCCCUUCAGUUGGGCUUCUGCAAGUGAUCUUUUGUUUUAAGUAGUACGUUUUAUUCCACUAAUAGGGACUCAGCUGGGUGGGAGAACACUGCUUGCUGACUAGAGAGGAUUUUCUACAGCAGACAUAGAAGAAUGGGGCUGGCCUUGCUGGAGGUGUUGCCUUGGAGGCAGUGUGUACAGUCAGUGCUUCUGCAGAGCCCUCUCUCUGCCUUUCCUAGAUCCCUGGCUUCCAGACCUGGGUGAAUCACCUUGGGGAGUGACUCUUUAGUCGUACAGAUGACUUAAUCCAACCAGACCAACUCAAUUAGAAGCUCAGGAAGUAGCGCUCAGGAACCUUAUUUUCCACAAUCUUACCAGCCAUUUGGGACAGCUUCCUUGGGACCCCCUCUUCAGGAAAUCACUGCCUUAGGGCAUU
rnacentral:lncRNA from 1 species